rnacentral:lncRNA from 1 species
AUUCCAGCCUCCCCAGUGCGAGUGCGGCCGAGCGCUGACUUUUGGGGGCUCCCUCCCCCGUCUCACUGGGUCCCUCUGCGGCUCCCCCGCCCGCUGUCCCGGUUCAGACGUGGCUGCACCCCGGAGGGGGGCGCCGGCCGAGACCUGAGACGUGGCGCUCCCUCUCUGCCGGCCUCGGCUUCAGUGCUUGAAUUUCAGCCACAUCCCUAAGCUGCCAUCUCAGACCAGAGGAACAGGGAGGGGGGCUUUCUGGAAAGAACAUCACCUGGAAGAAAUCAGGACAUGACUGUGGGCCAUGAGUGACCUUCAAAGGAAAGCCGGGUAUCUGUGGUCUUUAAGAUGUGGUAAGAUUGUAUUAAAAUUAUAGAAAAAAACCUCAAUCAUCCAUGACAUUUAAAAACUGAAGAAAUGGAAAGAUCAUCUGAUCAGGCCCAUCAGUCUUUUUCCUAAUGCUAAACAUUGGUACAAAGACGUGAAGUUUGAUGUCUCACUAAGAUUGCCUAGGGCUGCUUUAUUGCUCACCUACUUCAAAGUAUUGGGAAAACAUGAUUAUGGGUACAGGUGAUGCUGUGUUGCCCCCAGACAGGUUUCUUUUGUCAGGUUCUUUUGAUGGAUUAGGAACCUACAAGUGGGGAGAUUUUAGGGAAAUAGCCCCUCCACUUGGAUUUCACCAAAACGUCUUUAGGGUUCUCUUACCCCAAGAAACACGCAUUCCUCUUUAGUGUGGCAGCCCACUCUAUUGGCAAAGUUAAGCAGACCAGUUUUACUAAAAAGGAGCCACCCAGAAACUUAGACAGAAAAUACUUGAGGCACAGAUGAGAAUGAGCACAAAUGUGCAUAGCAAGUGCAGUUUCCUGGCCCUUAAACUGAAGGGCCAGGUCAGUCUGCUCCUCCAGGCACAGCCUGGGACCCCAUCAUGUGCCCCACUCUGCAGUCUGAGCUUCCACUCAAGUCCACCAGGGCCU